AAUAACCAAAUAUAACACUUGGUCUAAGAGUCAAGUUGGUAAUUUUUCUUACAUCUCCCCCUUCUAGAGCCCAGGUAUCGUAUAUGCCCCCAAAAUAAAGAUCCUUGAAUACUAGAAGAAAAACAUCUAUACUUAGAAAAAUUAAGUGAAUACCCAAAAUUGUGGUCAUUUUAUUUCUAUCUUUCUA
rfam:Gossypium raimondii chromosome 3, whole genome shotgun sequence.